rnacentral:rRNA from 1 species
UACAGAGGUCUCGGGCGUUGUUCGGAUUCAUUGGGCGUAAAGGGUGCGUAGGUGGCGCUGUAAGUCGGGUGUGAAAUCCUGGGGCUUAACCUCGGAACUGCAUUCGAUACUGCGGCGCUUGAGGACUGGAGAGGAGACUGGAAUUCAUGGUGUAGCAGUGAAAUGCGUAGAGAUCAUGAGGAAGACCAGUGGCGAAGGCGGGUCUCUGGACAGUUCCUGACACUGAGGCACGAAGGCCAGGGGAGCAAACGGG